rnacentral:rRNA from 1 species
GGCAAGAACCGUGAGGUGGAGCAAAUCCCGAAAAGCGAUCUCAUUCGGAUUGCAGGCUGCAACUCGCCUGUAUGAAGUCGGAAUUGCUAGUAAUCGCAGGUCAGCAUACUGCGGUGAAUACGUUCCCGGGUCUUGUACACACCGCCCGUCACACCAUGGGAGCCGGAAAUGCCCGAAGCCAGUGACCCAACCUUAGGGAGGGAGCUGUCGAAGGUGGAGCCGGUAACUGGGGUGAAGUCGUAACAAGGUAGC